UACGGGGGAGGCAAGCGUUGUUCGGAAUUACUGGGCGUAAAGGGCUCGUAGGCGGCCAACUAAGUCGGACGUGAAAUCCCUCGGCUUAACCGGGGAACUGCGUCCGAUACUGGAUGGCUUGAGUUCGGGAGAGGGAUGCGGAAUUCCAGGUGUAGCGGUGAAAUGCGUAGAUAUCUGGAGGAACACCGGUGGCGAAGGCGGCAUCCUGGACCGACACUGACGCUGAGGAGCGAAAGCCAGGGGAGCAAACGGG
rnacentral:rRNA from 1 species